CUAAAUCUACUGCUUUCUAAUUUGAUGUUAUAUUUAAAUUCUUUUGUUGGUUAAAAUUUAUUAUUAUUAAUAGGCUGUCUGUUUUCCCUAUAAAUAAAAUGCAUCCUCUCACAUCGAGAGCAGAAUAUUCAUUAAAAAUAAAAAGACUCUUUGGUUUCACACCAAUUGGUAUCAGAGCGCCAAAAGUUUCUGGGCCAAAUGGCUGUUCGACGUGCUAAUCCGGCGGCAGCAGAGCAACUUGCUCAAAAUCAAGAGGCGGAGGAAAACCCCAUCCUCCAUCCUCUCUCCAAGAACUACCUCGAGACGCUUGCUGUCCGUGGAAGCUUAUGUGGACAGAAUCGAAAAUACAUUUCAAGAAGUCUUGCAAAGACUAGAGGCGUUGGCACCUCCUCAAGAUGUUCAUCAAGAAGAUCAAGAACGAGUUCGUGACUGGGGGCAGUGUGACAUCCGUGGUGAUGGAAUUUGUAAGGCUGAAAGAAAUCGUCCAAAAAGGAGUUAUGAUGCCCAAGAACGAAGAAGACCAUUUCAAGACUAUUCAAAUCCUUUUCCAAGAAAUGUAUCAAGAACCUCAAGAUUGGAGUUCCUCUGAUGAUGAGCUGCAAAACGAGCCAUCUUUUAAUCAGAACAGAAGAUUUCGACCUCAGUUAGAUGAAAGAAGGAGAGAACCAGUAGAAUACAAGAUGAAAAUUGAUCUUCCAAGCUACGAUGGUAAAUGUAAUAUUGAGAUUUUUCUUGAUUGGUUGAAGAAUACUGAAAUUUUUUUCUAUUAUAUGAAUACUCCUGCGGUAAAGAAAGUCCAUUUAGUGGCAUUAAAAUAGAAGGCUGGAGCAUCGACUUGGUGGGAACAACUCGAGGCUAAUAGACGAAAAUAUGGGAAGAGACAUAUUGCCUCAUGGGAGAAAAUGAAAAAAUUAAUGAAGACACGUUUUCUUCCUCCCAAUUAUGAGCAAACUCUUUAUAAUCAGUAUCAUAAUUGUCGGCAAGGAGCAAGAACAGUUGCUGAUUAUAUAGCGGAAUUUCACCGGUUGGGUGCAAGAACCAAUCUAAUGGAGAAUGAGCAACACCUUACUGCACGGUUUGUAAGAGGAUUAAGGUUUGACAUCAAAGAAAAGGUAAAAUUACAACCUUUCUUAAAUCUUGUUGAUGCUAUUACCUAUGCAGAAUCCGUUGAAGAAAUUAUUGAUUUGAAUUUGAAGAAAAAUACAAGAAGGGGACCUUGGAACACUAAUUCCAAAUUGGUUGCAACUCAAUCCUCUAUGACUCAUUAUAACAAAGAUCAAGAGAAGGAUAAAACUAAUGAGACAAAUGAAAAGAAGCAAGCAGAAAAUGUCUAUCAAAGGUCGAGUUUAAGCAAGUGUUUCCGUUGUGGUCAAACUAGCAAUCUCUCAAAUGCUUGCCCUAAAAGAAAGAUAGUGGCUAUUCUUGAAGAAGAUGAAAAUUAGGUUGAAGAACAAGAAGAGGAUCACUCUCAAGAAGAAGAAGUAUUAGAACCCGAUGAUGGAGAGAGACUAUCGUGUGUACUGCAAAGAGUCUUAAUUACCCCAAAAUGUGACACUUCUCACCAGCAAAGGCAUAGCCUUUUCAAGACCUGAUGUACCAUCCAUGGCAAAGUAUGCAAUGUGAUCAUUGACAACGACAUGAGUGAAAACUUUGUCUCCAAGAAGCUUAUGGCUGCACUUAAGAUGAAAACGGAGCCUCAUUCAAGUCCUUAAAAAAUUGGGUGGAUCAAAAAAUGUGGUGAUGCCCAAAUAAAUGAGGUUUGUUCAGUCCCUUUAUCAAUUGGAGGGACCUAUAAGGAUUAGAUUGUGUGUGAUGUAUUGGAUAUGGAUGUUUGCCAUAUUUUGCUUGGAAGACUAUGACAGUACGAUAUUCAAGUUGUUCAUAAGGGGAGAGAGAAGACUUAUGAGUUCCAAUGGAUGAACAAGAAGAUUGCGUUGUUGCCCCUAAGCAAAAAGAAUGAGGAAGGAGUUAAUCAAAAGAAGGCUGAAAGUCAUCUUUUCAUCACUGUAAGUGGAAAGAAAUUUAUAGAAACCAGAGAAUUUGAUAUUUUGGGACUUGUUAUUUCAGGCCCUCAUACUACAAAGAUUUUCAGCUUGGUUCCACCAAAAGUGCAAGACCCAUUGAGCCAAUUUCAUUAUGUAAUGAAGGAGCCCUCUGAAUUGCCUCCUCUUCGAGACAUCCAACACAUUAUUGAUUUGAUACCCGACUCAUCUCUUCCCAACCUUCCUCAUUACAAAAUGAGUUCUAAGGAGUAUGAGUUCUUACACCAACAUUCAGUCGAACACCAGUCCUUGUGUCGUAACAGCUCUAUUAACUCCAAAGAAGGAUGACAGCUGGAGGAUGUGUGUAGACAGUCGAACCAUCAAUAAACUCAUGGUCAGUAUCGCUUCCCUAUUCCAAAAAUUAAUGAUCUCCUUGAUCAACUUGGUGGAGCUCUUGUUUUUUCAAAGGUAGACCUCAGAAGCGGGUAUCAUCAAAUUAGAAUAAGGCCAGGAGAUGAGUGGAGGACAACCUUCAAGACUAAUAAGGGGUUAUUCGAAUGGUUAGUAAUGCCUUUUGGCUUAUUAAAUGUCCUAAGUACCUUUAUGUGGUUGAUGUACCAAGUGCUAGGGGUGAAAUCGGGUUGGGUUGGGAGACAUUCUCAACCAUGACCCUAUCCCCAUUUCGCCCUGCCCGAUUAAUAAUAUAUUUAAUUAUAUAUAUUAAAUAUAAAUACAAGUAGUUAUUUACUUAAUAAUAUGUAAAAAAAUAAUAAUUUCUUUUUGAUAUUCUUCAUUUCCUUCUUUUCUUUAUUCCGUUUCUUUAUUUUUUUUCCUAAUUCCAAUGUUUAUGUUGUAUAUGUACGUAUUAUUGUGCCUUGACUUGUGAUUUGUAAAAUUUUCUUAAUUAUAUAUAUUAUUGUGGGUUAUUAUAUAUAUUAUUGUGGGUUAAGAUGUAAUUGAAGGUUUGGUUAGAAUACUUAUUGAUUGAUGUUUAAUUCUUUUGUAUGAAUUUUUAAGAGUAUCUUCUAAUAAAUGAAUAUUUAUUUUUAUAAACAAAAAGCCAUAAUUUGACAUUUUAAUAGUCAUACAUGAAAAAACUAUAGUAUUCUAUCGGAAAAAAAAAUUAUUGAAAAUGUAUAUACAUUUAAGUAAAUAUGGACUGGAAAAUGAGGUUAAUCUUAAGAAAAAAAGAGAAUAUUUCACCAGAGGAACCCGAUCCCUACGCAAUCUUCGCGGGGAAUCCCCACCCCGUUCCCCGUGGGAAAAUUGAUGGGAUGGGGAAUGGAAUAGGGGCAGGGAGCGGCAUCUCGGCCCCGCCCCGCCCCGUGAACAUCUCUACUUGCUUUCCACCUAUUUUUGGUAUUUUAUUAUUGUGAAAGGUAUAUUCUAUUGAUGAAAAAUCUGUCUUUUACAAUAAUAUCAAAUGAUGUAUAAAUAGCUAAUCCAACAUAAUUAAGGAAUGUCAUAUGAUUAGCCUAAUGUAAUGUAAUUAGCCUAAUUUACAGUAUUUACAUUAAUACCCUCCCUCAAACUCAAGGUGGUAGAGUGGCGACCAACUUGAGUUUGGUAAGCAAUUGACAGAAUCGAUUAGAUGGUAAGGCUUUGGUGAAGAUAUCCGCGGGUUGUUCAAUAGUAGAAACAGAACGUAAGAGGAGGGUGUUGCUUAAGAGGUGGUGACGAACAAAGUGACAGUCAUUUUCAAUGUGUUUUGUACGUUCAUGAAACACAUCAUUGUGAGCAAUCUGAAUGGCACUACGAUUGUCACAAUGGAGGAGGGUAGGACCCUGUUGAGGGACACCCAUAUCAGCAAGGAGCCACCGAAGCCAUAUAAGUUCAGCUGUAGCAUCAGCCAGAGCACGAUAUUCAGAUUCCGUACUUGAACGAGAUAUAACACUUUGUUUCUUACUGCGCCAUGAGAUGAGAGAAUCACCUAAGUAAAAACAGUAUCCUGUGGUGGAUCGUCGAUCAGUAGGAUCCCCCGCCCAAUCAGCAUCCGAAUAUCCCGACAACACAAGGGAAGACUGAGAUGAGAACUGGAGACCAUGUCCCAAGGUACCUUUGACAUAACGAAGUAUGCGUAGAACAGCAGUGAAAUGAAUUGUUCGAGGAGCAGCCAUAAAUUGACUGACAAUAUGAACAACAUAUGCAAUAUCUGGGCGAGUCACUGUUAGGUAUAUAAGACUGCCAACAAGUUGCCGAUACAGGCUUGCAUCGUCAAGUGGAACACCAUCAAACGGAGUUAGAUGGACAUGAGGAUCUAACGGUGUUGAAGAUGUGGUGGAGUCUGUAAUUCCUGAGCGCGCUAUCAGAUCAGAUGCAUAUUUCGCUUGAGAUAACAGAUAACCAUCUGACCGGUGAGAGACUUCAAGACCAAGAAAGUAAUUGAGAGAUCCAAGGUCUUUCAUCUCAAAAUGUUGACCAAGAUAUUGUUGUAGGUCGGAUAUGGCCUGUGGAUCAUUACCAGUAAUAAUCAUAAAGGAGGAGAAGAACAAUACCAUGGGUUGUCUGUCGUGUAAAAAGAGCAUUGUCGUGAGAGCUGGAGGUAAAUCCAAGUUGAGUAAUGGUGGAGCUAAACGUGGCAAACCAAGCUCGUGGAGCCUGUUUUAGACCGUAUAGAGCGCGACGAAGGAGACACACCUUGUUGGGAGGAGGAGAAGUGCCCUGAGGUGGCUUCAUAUACACUUCUUCAGAGAGGUUUCCGUUAAGAAAAGCAUUUUUGACAUCCAUCUGAAGAAGGGGCCACUGUUUGGCAGCAGCAACAGCUAACAAGCUGCGUACAGAUGUCAUCCGGGCAACAGGGGCAAAUGUUUCUUCAUAGUCAAUUCCAUAUUCUUGUGAGUAUCCUUUUGCAACAAGCCGAGCUUUAUAACGUUCAAUAGUUCCAUCAGAGUGAGUUUUGAUUUUGUAAAUCCAUUUGCAACCAAUGGGUCUUUUACCGGGAGGUAAGUCAACAUAGUCCCAAGUGUGCGUCUUUUCAAGAGCCUGUAAUUCUUCAUCCAUUGCUUUCUGCCAUACUGGGUUAGUACUGGCCUCUUGAUAAGAGGUGGGUUCAACAAGGGAAACAAUGGUAGAAAAACAAUGGUAAUCAGUGAGAUGAGGGGGAGGUUCUCUUACCCGGGUAGAGCGACGAAGAGGAGUAGCAGGUGGCGAUUCAGGAACAUCAUCGGAGACAGACGGUGGAUCCAGAUUUGCAGUAGCAGGUGAAGAUUGUGCAAGCUCAGUAUCCAAGGUGGGUUCAGAGAGAGGAAAAAGGUCAACAGAUGGAUUUGUAAAGAAAGAUUGAGGACUAGAGAAAGAGGUGUGGAAGGAGGACAAACGAGAGAACAUAGUGUGUUCCCAAAAAGUGACAUGCCGAGAUAUCCGGAGUCGGUUGGAAAGAGGGUCCCAACAACGAAAUCCUUUGUGUUCGGUGCCAUAGCCAAGGAAACAACAGAGACGGGCACGUGGUUCAAGUUUAUUGUGUUCAUGAGGAUGUAACAGAACGAAGCAGGCACUACCAAAAACUUUGAGUUUAGAAUAGUCGGGAGAAAUACCAUAUAGUUUUUCGAACGGAGAGGUGUUUUGAAGGACAGAGGAAGGGAGACGAUUGAUUGUAUAUACUGAUGUAAGGGCAGCUUCACCCCAGAAUUUUUCUGGACAAGAGGCAGAAAGAAGGAGGGCACGUACUGAGUCAAGAAUGUGACGAUGUUUGCGCUCAGCACGUCCAUUUUGUUGAGAGGUAUGAGGGCAAGAGCGCUGAACAAUAGUGCCCUGUUGGGAAAGAAAAGAAAGAAGGAUGGAAUCUUUAUAUUCCAAAGCAUUAUCAGUGCGAAGAAUUUUGAUGGGAGAGGAAAAUUGAGUGCGAAUCAUGUUAGCAAACUCAAUAUAUGUGCGAGAUAAUUCAGAACGAUGUUUUAGAAAGUAAAUCCAUGUAAAUCGAGAGUAGUCAUCAAUGAAUAAAACAUAGUAGCGAUAACCAUGAACAGUAGUAAUUGGGGCAGGACCCCAAAUAUCAGAAUGCACUAAAUCAAAAGGUUUAUCACAAUUAGAGAUGGAUUGAGAAAAAGACAAGGCAGGUUGUUUAGCAAGUUUGCAAUUCAAACAAUUAAAAGGAACAAAUUUAGUAAGAUUAGUCAAAUUGUUAACAGAAAUUAAAUGACGAAGUUUUUCAGAGGAAGCAUGACCAAGACGAAGAUGCCACUGAUAUGUGUCAGAAUCAGUGACUGAAGCAGAGAUGGAAGAAGGAGAUGAAACCCGAAGUGAUGUGAGCUCAAACAAUCUUCCCACUUUGCGACCCGUUCCAAUCGUCUGUCCCGUCUGCGGAUCCUGAACCUGACAACCAUUGGGAGAAAAUGAAACAUUUAAGCCAAGAUCACAUAAUUGACCAACAGACACUAGAUUAAAGGUCAGGUUAGGAACACAGUAAGUAUGGGGAAGAUGUAAACUGGGAGUAUCAAUGGUACCAGUAUGAGAGAUGUUCAUACAAUUACCAUCAGCAGCAUAAAUAGGAGGUAAAGAUUUUGUAGGGCUAGGAGUAGACAUAAGAGAAGAGUCAGAGGUCAUAUGAUUACAACAGGCAGAAUCAAGAAGCCAUCGAUUACCUGAUGAAACAGCAAGAGCAGAGGAUGAUGAAAUUAGUUGAUUCAAUAAGCUCUGAAGAUCACUUAUCUGAAUGAGGGAUGAAUCAUCCGAGGUUGCAGCAACAACAGAUGAGGAACCAUGUUUGGUAAAAGUUUUCUCUUUUGUGGAAGUGCCAGGAGGUCGGGGUGGUCUGGUAGGGCAGUUAUCCAGAAUGUGACCAUGUUUAUGGCAGUACCUGCACUCUAUUUUAGGACAGUUACUAAAUUUGUGACCAGAGAGCUUACAAUUCUUACAAAACAUAUUUGCGGCUCUGUUGGGAGUGUAUGUGCUGGCAAGGACAACAUCAGAUUGUUUAGUAGAGUUGAUGCCAAGACGCUUUUCUUCAAACAGAAUUUCUUGAAUAGCUGCAUCUAAUGAGGGUAAGGGAUUCCGGUGUAGUAAAGCAGCUCUAACAGAUUCAUAUUCUGGACGUAAUCCCAUAAGGACUUUAAUAAGGCGAAGAUGAUCUUUGCUGAUGUUCGCUUGGUCAAGUUGAGUCCAAAUGGGUUGAAGAACUGCCAAAUAUUCAUUAACAGACUGACCAAUAUCUUGAUUUAGAUUUACAAGUGUACUGUGCAGUUGGUAAUAAUGGGCUAAACCAAUAGACUUGAAGCGUGUAGACAAAAAAUCCCAUAUAUUUUUAGCAUCAUCAAAGGCAUCAAACUGUGCAUGUAUAGCGGGAAUAGAGGUGUUACCAAGCCAGGUGAUAAUUUGAUGAUUUUUACUGUCCCAAUCUUCGAGACGUUCAAUGAAUGUGUUAUCCCCUUCCUUGUCCUUGUCUUGUGCAGUUGGUUUGGUUGGUUAUGUCGCCAGUUACAAUGCGCCAUAGUUUUCUUCCAAUAAGAAAACUUUUCAUUUGAUUUGCCCAUGUGAUAUAAUUUGUACCAUCAAGAAUUGUACCUAUGGGUCUAAAAAUAUGGUCCCUCUCCAUUUGGAUUCGCUGUUAACAAUGAGAAUUUCCGGCUGAAUUUGUCUAAAAUUUUCUAUUGAUUCGUGAUUGGAUUCGUCAGAUUCUGGAUUUUGCAAUUGGGAUUGCUGAUUGGUUUGUAAGGCUGGGAGUCGUGAUAGGUGAGUGUCUUCUUGUCUAGGUCGCGGCUGAGUUGCGACGGCGAGGACACGACUGGAUUCGCGGCGGUCAGGAUUUGUCUUCGCGGCUGGGUUGCAACAAUGGACAGAGGGUCACGGCUUACGGACAGAGGGGUUACGGCUGUGAGCGGAGACAAACGAAUGAGGACAGUCGGCUAGAAGGUUCGUCGGAUCUGGUGGGCGGUGGCGUCUUGGAUUCACGACUGGAAGAGGAGUCGCGUGCGGCUUGGGAAGACAGAGGAGUUGCGUGCGGCUCGGAACGGCAGAGAUUGUUGCAACUCGGCAACGACUGGUGCUUCAGAUCGGAGAGGACGACGCGACGAUUUGAACGCCGCGACGCCGAGGCUGCGACUGGACGGAGUGGCGCGAACACCUAGGUUGUGACGGAGCGAGUUGUUGCUGCUGAACUUUUCGGCUAGCAGUGGAAGAAAAACGCUAGCACGGGACGGAGAUCUACUUUUCGACUAGCAGUGCUUCUUGGAGUUAACGAAGACGCGGCGGUUCUCGGGCGGCGGCGGCGGCGACGGCAGUGAUUAAAGUAGAUCUAGGGUUAGCUCUGAUACCAUGUGAAAGGUAUAUUCUAUUGAUGAAAAAUCUGUCUUUUACAAUAAUAUCAAAUGAUGUAUAAAUAGCCAAUCCAACAUAAUUAAGGAAUGUCAUAUGAUUAGCCUAAUGUAAUGUAAUUAGCCUAAUUUACAGUAUUUACAUUAAUAAUUAUGUAUUAAUACUUUAUGCAAAUAUUUGUUCUCAAAGAUGAUUGAAAUUUUGCCACAAAGAAAAAAAAGAAGAGAUUUAAUGGUGUGCUAUUUAUUCAUCUCUAUUUAAGCUUACAAGCUAGAAUUUCUUUUAUGAACAAAAGGAAAGUGUUGAGGGAACUAUCGAGAACUUCUUAUUAUUCGUUAUUCAUGAUUAAUUGAUAUUCUCUCCAGAUAUUUUCCCUCACAUUAUUGUUUUCUUUUUUUGUUCACAAAAGAUGGAAACUAACAAUUUGGGAGGAUUAACAAAUUUGAUAAUUUUUUCCCUCAACAAAUAAAACAACAAGACUUGUUUUUCUUGUUUCUUGGUUUAGGUGAAGAUUCAUUCGGAGGGCAUAGGAGAAGACACAAAUCUCAUAAUGUUUAACUAAUAAAUAAAGUCACAAUGAAUUUUAAUUUAAAAAAAUACUAAAAACAUUAUUUAAUUUAUCCAAUCAUUCUUUUGUUAGUCAACAAUCAACUUUAAAAUCAUUUAAAAUUAAAUUUCAAAUUUAAACCAUUGAAGUGUCACGUUUGACACAUUAAGGAUCAAAUACAUAUAACAAAAUAUGCAUUUUUCUAAAAAAAAAAAAAAAAAAAAACUAUGACCAGAAGGAUAUUUAAAAAAUGCAAAUAAACGGUUUAAAAACAGAAAAGCAAGAAUAUAUCGCAACCGUACACGUGGCCUAACACAAAACCAUAGAUCUGUAAACCCUAAUAUACGAUUUUAGGGUUUUGAUUGAAGGCGGACAUUCUUGUCCCUCUGCUUCUAUAUAACUUACUUUUCCCUUCUUCUCACUCACUAACAAUCGUCUCCUUCCUUCGCCUCAUCUCCACUCUAUGAUUGUAGGCUUUGGUUCUAUAACAGGUAAACCUUCGUCCUCAUCUCGUAGUGGUUCUAAUAGCGUCGAAUACUGAUUACGAGCAUCCGCGAGACUUUGUUUCAAAAUCGGGUGCUUCGUAUGAGCCGACGCGAUAUUUGUUCCGAUUCUGUGAGCCGCAGAGGCUUUUGUGGCUUCCUGACGAAGCUAGCCGCUGGAUUGCAGUUUUGGAAAAAUUCAAUUCCACUACUUGUUUGUAUAGUUUUAAGUUCGAUAUGUUUUUACAUUGUGUGAACUGUAUGAUUAUCAAUUGACGAUGGAACUGAUGACACUUUCCCCAAAUGAUCGACGCUGAUUAUACUAAGCUGGUGUGUGUUUAUCACGCUUUUGUCUGAUCCAUCUUUCUUUACUUAGAUUGAAAGGUUUUUUUUUCUCUAUUUAUUAUUCUUUUACUCUUAAUUGAAGUUAGCUUAAGAUGUAUUUUUGUAUAGAGUUGGAAUGAAGUUGGAUGUGAUGAUACUUUCCCCAAAUGAUCGACGCUGAUUAUACUAUGCUGGUGUUUUAAUCACAUUAUGUCUGAUCCAUCUUCUUCUUCCACUUGAUUUUUCUGAUUUUUCCUUAUUUUAAUACUUAAUUUUUGCCUUUCAUCUUGACUUUAUAUCUAAAUCUUUUCCAAGUAAUUGACUUGAAAUUCUAGCAUCUAAUUGCUUUUAGUCUAAUAUUCGCUCUGAAGAUGGAAGUGACGAUACUUUCCCCAAACGAUCGACGCUGAUUAUACUAUGCUGGUGUUUGCAACACCUUUUAUCUGAUCCAUCUUACGGCACAUAAAAUUUCUUUUGCAUUUUCUCCAUGUUUUAAUUUGAUUGUUAGUACUUUGGUUUGAGGAUUAAAAAUUCUGUAUGAUGGAAGUUGGCAAAUUUGAAGGAAUGGCUAAAGUGUGUAUUGAAAGUCCAUUUAUGCAUAUUGAAUUCUAGGUUUCGUGUUAUUAAUUUUAUUGUUUCUAAAAAUUUAAUUGUGUCUUUUAAUUGUCUCUUUUAAGUUUGAAGGAUUAGCUUGUUUUUUCCCAAGCGCUGAUGAGCAUGUGUAGUUUAUCUUUUAUUGAACUGAAAUAGAGUAACUGAGAAGCAAUACAACCUUCCUCAUGCUAAAUGAAUCUAUUUAGAGGUCUCAAAAUUUUGAGUUCACUACCGAAAUUUAGGCAAUCCGAAGUCGUUAGUUUUGGUUUUUGAAACUUCGUUUGAUUGACUUAAUGCGGACCUAUUUUGAUGCACUCAUCGUAGUGGGGGUUAGAGGCGUGACAUGUAUCAUCUAAUCAAUCUCCAAUCUAUAUACUAGGGUGACUGUCCUUCAAUGGAAGAAUUCUUGAAGCUUUUUAUAUAAGUUGAUUGGCCGAGGAUUAGGAAUCACUGAUUACAAUGGCAAACUAGGCUUGCAUGUGCAAAAUGAAAAUCAUUAGAACCAAAGCCACUGGAUUGCCAUGAGGCCUUGAAAUAGAAGUAAGGUGAUGCUCCUUGGUACAGCAGCAACAACCUCAGCAACCAGCAAUCUUUAAUCUUUAACUGAAGAGGGUAAAAGAACAGAAAGUAAAACUAAAAAAAAUGGGAAAUGUAGUGAUCUCAUAAAAGAAAAGUGGAGAGAAAUUAUAGUAGCAAAAGUAAUGCAGUUGCCAGAUGAUACAGCAGCAACAACCUCAGGGUUAAGCCUCUUGUCAUUGAUGAAAGUCCCAUUGGUGCUAUCUAGAUCUAUGACCAACAACCUGUCUUCUUGGUUUUUGAUGUGAGCAUGUUGAGCAGAUUGCUUGCAUUUCAGAAAACAACUAAAUGGAGUUGGAUUAGGGGAAAAUUAGACCUGUAGCAACCAGGAUUACAAUGAGGCCCAAAGGUCUUUGAUCUCUUUGGCUGUAAGUGAAUAACCAAAAAGAACCGAAAACAGAAAGGAGAUUAACAUCAAUACUUUCCAGCCAUUCGCCAAACUGCUGUUCUUCAACUCUUUACAACCCAAAGUACUUUCAUCAGUGCUUGAGGAUUCUAAAAAAUUCAAGAUUCAGUUGUUAACCAUUUAAAAAAACUGUAAAUAAAGAUUUGAGAGCAUAGGUUUAGAUCAUAGUCAUGAUUUAGAUUUCAAAUGCAGAUUACAUGAUUUAGAUUUCAAAUGCAAAUUACAUCUUCUUUUCUAUGUUUGUGAAGUUUAGAUCAAAGUAACAACUAAUUAGCUUAAAUAAAAAUUGUUUUCAUUCAUUUCUUUAGCUCCGUCAAUUUCUUUGGUCAUGUCAUUCAAAGGUUUAGAUUGAAUCUAAUUAUGAACAUAAAUGACUGCCUCCCUCCAACACUUGUCCUUCGGUGUUAGAGGUUGAGUCAAACAUAGUUGAUAUAGGAAUUCUAUAUAUGGCUCUAGCUACUACUUGUCUAUAAUGAUCUUAAAUUGAGAGGAAUUCACCUUCCAUCAAUUUAAAAGUCUAAAUAUUCAUCUUCUAUACGAGCCUCGAGCCUCAUCUAGAUAACGAGUCGUGUGUUGAAAUUUAUGUCCUACAAUUCGUAAUUUGUAAUUAUAUUCUAUUAAAUAAAAUUUAUUAUUUAGAAAUUGAAUUCUAUAAUCUUAAAUCCAAUAAACUAAGUUCCAAGGUUAUUUUUGAGUAAACUUGAACUUUAGGUAGAGACUACAUAAAUGUGGAUCAAGUUCUUAUAUAGUUUAAAUAGUUUAUCGUAUAUGAAUUAAGGUUAGAACCUUUAUUAAGAGAAAUUAUGGAUGCAACCCAUUUUGUAGCUAGUAUAAACAAGAUGAUACCAAAUCGUUCAUGAAAGUGGAGACAUUUAUGUAAACUCCUAUGUAAAGUGUUAUAACGUUGUUUAAUUUUUACGUUAUAACGUUGUUUAAUUUUCAAAAUUGACUAUCUCAAUUAUUGAUGACCUAUGUAACUCAAUCUUAAUUUUGAGCUAAUUAUGAACUUCUGUUCAGAUGAGAUUAAGAGUUCACACAAGAUUUUCUUUAGAUAAGUGAUGGGUGAUGAAAACUCUUUAUUCUGACCAAAUAUGCUUUCCAUUUCAGGAGCAAAACUGGAUGAAUAUUUGGUGAUAUAGGGUGAAGAGAGAAUUUACUCCUGGAGCAAAACUGGAUGAAUAUUUGGUGAUAUAGGGUGAAGAGAGAAUUUACUUGGAUAGGUUGUUCCCUUAUGCACUAUAUUAAGGUCUUGAACAAGGGGCCCCACCCUCUCAUUGGCUUGAGAGAGAUUUGGUUUAUAGGUUGGACCUUAAACCAAUUGUUCAAUAGUAAAUCAGUUAAGGAGUAAGAUAUAGGUUGGACCUUAAACCAAUUGUUCAAUAGUAAAUUAGUGAAACUUAAGGAGUAAGAUGCAGUAUUAGGGGUAAAACGGUACUUUGACCCAAUCAAGGUUACGAACAAUUUGUGAAAGGAUGAGAGUGCAACUAUAUGACUUUAGUGGAAUGACCAAUUAGUUAACAAAUGUUUGAUUAACUCGGUCUAAAAGAGUUUAGUCAGUUAAUUUUGAAUUGUUGAAGCCCAUGAUCUAUAGAUUUAUUAGGUUCCUCGGCUAGCUCAUAUGGAUAAAUUUAGAACAAUAUGAUAAAAUGAGUUGAAUUGUUCAAUUUAGGUGACGAGAGAGAAAUCGAUAAGUAUAUGUGAUAUAACCAUCGAUUAUCGAAUUAGAAAUAAAGCUUAUAUUUGAAUGAGAUUUAAAUAUUAAAGAUAUGAAUACAGAUUUAUACUAGAAAGCUAAAAAGCGAUGGAAAUAGUCAAAGUUGUAAAAAGUCAAAAUGUUGAAUUUUGACUUUGAAAAGUUAAGCUUUGACCGAAAAUAGAUUCAAAUAUGAUUUGAAUUUUGAAAAAAUAAAUGUGGAUUCAUGAUCGGGAGAUCAAAAUUAGUCAUUGGACAAAAUAUUAAAAAGUGAAAUGUUGAUUUUAAGUUUGAAAAGUGACUUUUGACCAAAUAACUAUUUUGCCAUUUGGCCAAAGUUUGUGGAAAAAUUCAACAUUUUGUUGGAUCCCACUAAUUCUAGUGGACUAGGUGUUGUCUUUUGACGAAGAUAAAAUGUUCACUAGAAAAAGUGGGCUUUGAGUUAUUGGGCUUCAGUAUCUGAUGGACAUGUAAUUCUCACAUGGAAAUUUCUUAUAAAUAGAGCCUUUGAACUCAUUUGAUGGGUUUACUUUUCAAGUUUGAUUCUUUCGAGAAAUAAAAUGUUUGUUUCUUCCUAAAUUUAUAAAAGAAAAAAAAUAAUUUUCAAAAGCCCAAGUUCUCUUUAAUUUCCAUCAUUCUCUAUCUCCUAGUUCUUUCAUGCAACACAUCUCACAACCGGUUUAUGAGUUUGGAAGAUAGUAGGUCAAUCUUAGUGGUUGUUCGAAAAAAAUCAGAGCUUCGAAUGUAAGUAUUCUCAAGACCCCAAUUUCAAUUUAUUUUCGGUUUAAGGUUUACUAGUUAAUUAAGUGCAAUUAGGAUUAAAUUUCGAUUCAGUUUCUGCACACAUGUCUAAUUUCUAUCACCACCUCUGUUUUAGCAUCAUUUACACAUGUUUUGUUGUUUUGUUUAAAUCUAUCAUGAACAACAACACUUAGCUUUAUAAGAUCCACUGGAUGAGAUAGAAGGCAUUUCAGUUUAACUUUGAAAGUUAAAUCCUUCUAUAGGAGUACACGAUUGUGUUAGUGAAUAUUUUUCUUUUGGCAUUGACAUUCUCAUGUAAUAAUCAUCACACAAUUGAUGAAAUACUUCUUCAUCCUUAUUCGUCCAUUUUUUUGCACUAUCUUCCUUUAAAAAUUCAUUAAAACAAUAAUUCACACAAGCUUGCUUGUACCUUGGGUCAAGAACUACAUAAACAUAUAUAAUAAUAAAUUGGUCUUCUCACUUGUAGUUAUAUCCCAAUUGAAUUUUGUCUGCAUGCUUAAUGUCAUAAGACUCAAUAAUGCAUACUCAUGUAACGAGUAUUCAAGAAUUAUUUCUUGGAUUAAACAGAGUUCGUGAAAAAAUAUAUUUGAAGUCACAAACAUAGAUACAGAAAACUUCAUUGUUACCUCUGAAAAAGUUUUUAGGGACUUUACAAACAUUUUUGUAGUAUCCCAAUCUUCAACAAUAGAAAUAUCAUCCUUUGGUAAAUAACUAGGGUCGUGCUCCUCUAAUCUUUCAAAUGUCUUUUGACACUCAAUUGCUCCAUCCAGCAUAGUAAAAGUAGAAUUCCAUCGUGUUGGAACAUCCAUUGUAAGACAAUUUUUUGCUUAUAUUUUAUUUUCUUUAGCAAAAUCUUUAAAUAUUUGCAGUCUAGCAGGAGAUGGCCUAUCAUACUUCAUAACAUUUCUGAUUCGAAUGAUAGACACAUGCAAAUCUUUUAGGGCAUCACUAACAAUCAAAUUAAGAAUAUGGGCACAAACAUCUAAUGUGAAUAAAUUCAUCAUCAAAUACCAACCCAUUUAUGCCUCUAAACUUUUUAAUCAAGCUAUCUAACACAAGUUCAAAAUUCUUUGUAAAUGUUUUAAUCAUCAUCAAUGAAAUGAGUCGUUAACCAUAUAACUAAUAUUUUGCACAUUAGUCCAUGUAUCCGUUCUUAAACAAACUCUUUGGCCACUUCGAGUUAGUACACUUUUUAACUUUUUUUUCUCCUUCAUAUAUAUCUAAAAACAAUCCUUUGCAAUAAUUUUACUCUUGAUGGAAUUACAAACUUUGGAUUUAAUGCCUAACAAAAUUGAUGACAUCCUUCACUUUCUACAAACUUAAAUAACAAUUCAUCCAAGAUAACCAUACUAGCAAGCAUUGUUCUAUAAUUUUCUUGGGUGAAAGAUGUAGACAUUAAACUACUUUUAGAAUCUUCCUCUUCUUCAACAUUAUCUUUCAAUGGAUCUACAUACUUCUUAUAUUUCUCUAAAUGUCUUUUUAAAUUCGUUGUACCAUUUCUUUUGGAAUCACAAGCAUAUGAAGCUUCACAAUGUUUACAAGCAACUCUAGGAUAUUUAGGAUAACAUUCUUCUACUUUUAUAAAUUGUUUCCAUACUGAUGGUAACCAGUUUUCUUUUUCUUAGCAUUGGAUUAGAACAACUUUGUUUUAAAGUUUCGUCUACAGAGAAUGAAGUCAUCCUAAUAAUCAUCAAACAAAACACAAAAAGAAAAAAAAGACACACACACACAAAUUUUAACUAAUAAUUAUCAAAGAAAAUAAUAAGUAAAGCAUAUCAUCAAACUAUGAAUUGAGUGCUCUCACCUUUUUGCAAAAACAUCAUCACACAAACCACAGCCCCAAAUGCAAACCCUAAGUUAGCCAUUACUAUUCUUAAAUGGAAAGUAUAUUAAAUUUCUUCUCCAAAACUCCAAAAAAAGUAAAUAUCACCAAGAACUAACAAGAAGCUGAGUACCCUUUCUGGUGUAGCUUUAGAAUGCGAAUCAAAUGGCUUUGUAGAAAGAAAUGACAAUGGAAAAACAUUGAAAUUUUUUCUAAGGCACUGAAAUUUUGUUUCCAUUAUUCUUCUUCAAAAAUUCUGUUUCCACUACAGUUUGUCCUAAGUUUUAUUUUCCUAAAGUUAUAUUUACAAAGUAAUCCCUCCAUUAUUUAUAAAUUACACUUUUACUUGUAGUUAUAGUCCAAUGUUCAUUGUUGUUCUUGUAUAAACUUGAAGAUUUUCCUAAGUGAAAAAGCUAUGCAGGCAAACCUCAGUGAAAAGCACGAAAUAUUUCAAGUAUAAUGAGUAAAAAUUUUGAGUCAUUGUGCAUAUCCAUUAUUGAAAGCUUUUGGUAAUAGAAGCAUUGUAUUCAUAUCCCCUAUUUCAGGCUUAAUGACCCUUCAUUUCUCUACUCCAUAUGCUGCUUCUAAAGGUAACCCACAAAUUUCUUCACCAUUAUCCACCAUUACCCACCAUAACACACAAAUUGUAGAAUCAUCAAACUCAAACACCAGAGGGUGUCACAAAAAUUUUUCAAAAAAAAAAACUAAUGUGAUUUUCCUAUUAUUCUAAACACGAACGAAGAUAACAAAAAAACUGAACAAAGGAAACAAACUAAUCCUAAAAUUUACAUAAAUAAAAGUAUGAUUAAUCAUAAUGUUUAUAUAAAAAAUACUAUAAAAUCGUCAAAUACCUCAAAAGCUUCAACCAGCACUGAAUCCACGAAGAUGCUAUACAAGGAUAAUAAAAAAGACCUAGAGGCCAAACCUACGAAGACCCACGUCGGAGGCUACUAAGGAGAAAAGAUUGAUGGAGAAUGAGAGAGGAUUCACGAAUGACAGAGAAUGAAUGGAGGAGACCCACAAAUAGCAGAGAACGAACAAUGAAGAAGACCACGAAAUACGAAUGAGAGAGAACGAACACAAAUGAAGAGAAAGACGAACUCUAAUCUUUUCUUCAAUUUUAACCUAAUUGGGUUAACCACACCCGAACCAAACCGAUUUAGUCCGGUUCGAUUAGACACUAUUGCUCUUUUAAAUCGAUCUAACCCGAGCUGAACCGACUCAAUUAAGUUUGGGUCAUCAAUUCCGUUCGAUUUUCUGCACCCCUAUUAAACACUAUUCGCAAAGUUUGGAGGUUGGGCUAUCGAGGCGAAGGAUGAAGUGAGACCAAGACUUUGUGGGGACUUAGAUGUGUUGAUGAUGAUGAUUCGAUGGUAUUAGGAGCUAAUCUUAUAUAUAUAUAUACAAGAGAAUGGACAUUUUAAAUAGGGUUUUUAGUUUGAAUCGAGAAAUAUUAGAUUUAGUUCUUAUAUAUAUAUAUACAAGAGAAUGGACAUUUUAAAUAGGGUUUUUAGUUUGAAUCGAGAAAUAUUAGAUUUAGUUCAUUUUUCUCUCUUUAGAAAUGGUUAACAUAAAAAUAGACAUGUCAAAUCGUGAGUUAGAUAUAGACUUGUGAUGUCAGAGAAGAGUGUAGAAGAGAAGAAGAUUUUCGGGUUCUUUUUGGUUGUCUAAUCUUUCUUUAAAAGGGAGAGGAAGAGUCAGUGGCUGUCUCACUUCAAUCGACAGUUCAUAUGAUCUCUUUCGAAUCGGUCAUGAUGCCGGGACGUAGCCGUAUGAGAGGAGAGUGUAUACUUUUUCACUCUGGGAGCGAGACCAAAGUUCAAGAAGCUAUUUUGAGUGGUAAACUCUGAAAAGAAAGAUGGAAAGAGGGGAGUUGGAUGAUAAAGAUGGACAAUGUUGAUUGUGUAAUAUCAAUUUAUCGGCCUCAUCAUCGAAAGCGGCUGAACAUUUCUCUCCAAUUCUAAGCUAUGUGGGGGGGCUUAGAUGGUGAGCAAAAAGAAUUGAUCAAGAAGUUGGUCAACUUUCGCAUGAAAGAAGGUAAAAGAACGAAAGUUCGUGUUAUUCUUUCUCAAACUUUGAAUCGCCCAGCUCAAACUGAACGCGAUGGAAUCAAACUUAUGGUUGAGGCCGUAGAGAAUAUAAAGCCCAUAUGCGAAGUCGAAAAAGUCAGAGUAGCAACUACUUUUUAUGGUGUCCCUGGGAUUGUAGCCAAUGAUCGUCAACAAACCUUAGCUAUUCGUUGGAUCUUUGAAGCAGCUUUCAAACGACGUAUAAGCUACAAGAUAAGCUUAGAGAAAUGUUCAUUUGAUGAGAUACUGGAUGCUUACCGAAAGAGGGGAAUUGCACGUAAGAAAAGGGAGAAUCUUCAUAGACUGGCUUCCACCAAUCGAAGUUUCGCGCAUUUCAGAUGGUGGUAAAGUAGAGACCACAUAAUAGAAUAUUCCUCGCUCAAUCAGAUUAUAAAGUAAGAUAUGCUUUGACUCAGCCUCCGCCUUCUUAUAUUUGGAGUCUGAAUAUAGAAAGCCAACCUUCCUAAUACUCUUCCCUUCGUUUGUUGAGUUAGAGGAUAGACUUUCUGAAGGAGGUUCGCGCCUUAUGCAUUGCAUGAAAGAAGCGAACUUUGUAUGACUUCUCUUUUGCCUCAGGCGCAAUAUUGCCGGGAGAUCAAUCAAAAAAUAGGCCAUUCAUUCAGAAGUAGUGGGCCCCUCUUUUUAGUGACUCGGGGAGCUGAUCUGAUAAAUGCACUUCAAAGGGAGGGGAUCUCUUAGAUACCAUGUUGGUAUGGCCGGGCAUAAUUUGAAGUUAGGUAAAAAAGAAGAGGGAUUCGACGGUAGAGGUGGGAAUCGAUAGCCCCUUUUUAUUUUAGAAAAGGCAAGAGAAAGAAAAGUCAGGACUCUCUCCGUUGUGCAAAAGGCUGUGAUCUUCAUUAACCACUCAACUAGGGAUUUCUUUGGCUCAAGCUAUCAAUAGCAAUAGUGAACUCGUCCUUCAUUAGCUUACGUGGGAAUGGAAGAACUUCCCCACCUCACUACUAAACCGUAGCUUUCUACCUUUUGAUUCUGGUAAUUUUGUCUUCAUCAUACCAAGAUCUGUCCCACUUUCACUUGUAGUUGCAGCGACUGUUUUUCUUGAUUACCGAAGAAGGCAUUCUAAUCCACUUUUUUCAAGCUUCCCAUCCGCUGAGUGAGGUCGAUUCCCAGGGCGAAGGCUUUCCCUACCACCCCCAUCUAAUCCAUGCGGGUAUGCCAAUUUCUCUUUAUCACGAGGAAAUGGAAUUGAGCAAACGAUGUAUAAUAAUCAGCGACUUUGAAAGGAGAAAUGGAGAUUGGGAAGUCAUAAGUGAGAGGGAAGUCAUAAGUGAGAGGGGGGAGAAGAACUAGCCUCUAAGGCAUUAGCUCGAGAGAAGAGAGGGAGAUAAGCGUGCAAAGCCCUAGCUAAUGAAGGAAAGAGCGCGCCUUACCUUUCUCUUGAGGUUAGCUGCAAGCUUAGAACUAGUAUUUCCAAAAAGAACCGUCAAUCUUAUUGAAUCAGAUAAGAUUCUCAUUUUCACACCUAGUCGACUAGUAGAAGGAGGAUUUCAGGAUUUCUCUACUGGCAAUUCAAUUCAGUAGCAAGAUGCAUCAAGGCGCGUCCUUCUAAUUCUGAUGGUAAUUCAUUUCAUAGAUUUCCGUCAUCUCCUGGAGCAGAAGUGCCCUUAUUACAAGCUAAAUAGUAGUCUCUAGUAUCGACAUCGAGUAAGCUAAUUGUCAAAAAAGUAGGCACCUUGAUUCAACUCCUAGAGAAGUCCAAAAAGAAAGAAUCUCAUAUUGACCUUUAAUUUGAUGCGCCUCUUUGAGCCUUGAAUUAUCUGUUUUGGAAGUGGUUCAGUCCGAAGGACUAUCCAUUAGACUGCACCUCGCUCUUCUUGUAGUUUCAGUUCUUGAAAAUCCAAAAACAAAGGCGAGAAGACAGGCGCAAAGAUCGUGGCCCACGCCGUGGUACAAUAAGAUAAGUCCUCCGUUUUAGAGUCCUACUUCCAUAUGGAUAGUCCUCCUUCUAAUGGAUAGUUCUACUUCUAAUGGAUAGUCCUACGGAUAAAUCCUCCGGACCCUGGACCUUUCUUUGGCACUCCAGACCCUAGACCUUUGUUUGAUGGUCCUCCGAACUCCAGUGCAAUCCAAUAUGCGACUUUGUGCCUUGGUAUCACUCGUAUUCUCGGUCUCGAAACCUCCCACUCCGCGGUCUUGAAUUCCUCAGCCUUAGGCGACUGGAAGAGAUCUAUCAAGAGAGAAAGGGAAUAAGUCGAAAGAAAGAACCGCUCUACUUUCUUUUCUUGUGGAAGGAGACCGCUAUGUGGGCCCUUCUUCGGUAAAAAAGAGUAAGGUCUAUCUACUAAAAGGAAUGCUCCUUCUGCAACCCGGAGGCAAGGCUCAAAGAAUUUGAGCGAAGCUCUAAGAAACUAGACGAUAAAGGUUUUGAUGAUUUUCAAAGACUAUUACAAACAUUAGUAUGCGAUAGCGAUUCCAUCCAAGGAAUGCAAGAAAGACAAAAAGCCUAGGGAUCAAGAAAACUUGAUUUUCAAGCAAAGGCCUAAAAAAUAAUGGAAAUGCGGGUCAAGACGAGGGGUCCGAAGGACCUCUUUUAUCUGUCCGAAGCUGCGAAGAAGAAAAAGAAGGCGCUUAUUGCGAAAAGCAAAGAAUAUAUAGAAGGCGCUUAUUGCGAAAAGCAAAGAAUAUAUAGAAGGCUCAAUGCAGAAUAUUGCGGUUUGCAUGGGGCGCGAAGAAUAUAUAGAAGGCGAUCUAUGGCCCACGUAGCGGUGCCAUAAGACAGGUCCGAAGGCGUCACAGGUCUGGAGGACCCGUCUGUCCGAAGGACGGGAUAUUGAUAAUGUUGAAAGAAAGAUUAGACUUUGUCAGAACCCUUAUUUCCAUUAUUUUUCACUUUCAUUAUUCUUGAGAAUAUUCAUUCAUCCGACAGAGCAAAGUUCAGCCAGAUUCCCAUAUGAAUUAGGCGAAGGACUGAUUUUCAAAGUCAGAGCUAUCCCUCAAAUUCGUUGAGCCUCCGCACUCAAAUUCUCUGAUGGAUAGUCCUUCGGACCGCUAGGGGCAAAGAAUAUUGCGUGGAACUGAACUAAUAGGGAAAAGCAUUUUCUAUUGAUUUUUCCCCUGGACUGGACCUAUUCUGAUUCUGAAUUAUCCGUCGCUACACUGUUCCCAAAGACUAGCAAAAUCGAAAUAGCGAAAUUCUUGGGUCAUCUAAAUGGGUUCAGAAACCACACGUUUCUUUGGAUAUUAUAAUCAUAGCGUACUUCCACAUAUCCACUCAGAGGAAGGUCUUUUCGUAAUGGAUGACCCUCAGAACCAUAAUCCGUUGAUAUACAACAUAGAUCCGGAUGAUUGAUGGAAGAAACACCAAACAUAUCCUAAACUUCUCGCUCCCACCGACCGGCUGAUGGAAAAUAGACUAACUACCGGAGAGAUUCGUGUUACUUCGUCUACAAUUGAAAUAGGUAGUUCGUAUUGGUAUCCGAUCUAUUUUCAUGUUUCGAUCUUUCUUUUUUUUUUGACCCAUUUCUUGGGGACAGUCUCCUAACUAUGUUUGAAAAUGGAUUGGUUAUCCAUAAGUCUCAAAGAACUUGAGUCUAGUUCUACUUCUUUCAAGAAAAAUGAAGAAAGACUUGUCAAAAAUUGCUGGUUGGGUUGGUCCAAGCAAGAAAGGCAUGGGAGAAAUAAAGAUGCACGUAUGAUUGAAGCAUCAAAAUCCACUUUUCUUUUUUUCAUAGGUCAGGCAAAGUUUCUUUUUUCACCACAAUAUAAUAUUCGUUUUUUUGGGGUUAAUGCUCUUAAUGGUGAAUCGAUCAUUCGAUAUCCUUUGCCUUAUGAGAGGACGACAGACUGGAUGAAAAGUAAUGAAACCCGUGAUGGCUACUGAAUAACGUCCUUUGACUUUCUCAAUAAUAAAGCCUUUGACUUUUUAAUUCGUUUGCCAAAUCUUGUUCAGUUCCAUCCAAGCUCGGUUUUGUCUGAAUCUUCGUGGAAGAAGAAAAAGGGGUUCACCAGCCACUACAUCUGUGGAUCCCACCAAAUAAUCAUUCAACGUGGCGAUAGCUCACUCUUUGAGAAGUGAUUUGCCGGUCACUAGAUCGAUGAAGAAUCUCUCCAAAAUUUGCUCUUUGAGAAGUGAUUCACCGGCCACUAGAUCCAGGGAUCCCACCGCAGAGUGGGUCUCAAACCUGGCGACUCGAUUGAUUGGAACUUCUGUAGGCUCAUCUUGCAUACAAAUGAUGGGGGUCCUAGGUCCUGCAUCCACCAAGAACAUUUCUUCCCUAAAGCGUAAAACUGAAGAUUGUAAGGCGUUUACACUAUGUAAGAAAAACUCGAAUUAGAUCUUGGAAAUAAUAUCAGAAAAUCAAAAUAGAUGGGAGUCAAGAUAAGUUUUUUUUCCUCCUUCCUCCUCCCUGAUGGAUAGUCCUUCUUCGCAAAUUGUUUGCGCCUCAAUAUUCGAGCAAUAUUUUUUGUGCCUUUCGCUCCUUCUUCUUCUUUAUGGGAGUCCGGAGGGCCGCUACGUGGGCUAUAAAUCUUUGCCUCUUCGACGCAAUAUUCUUUGUCAAUAUUCCAUCAAACAAAGGUCUAGGGUUCGGAGUGCCAAAGAAAGGUCCAGGUGAUUUAUCUUCCGGACUAUCCAUUAGAAGGAGGACUAUCCGUAUGGAAGUAGGACUAUCCAUUAGAAGCGCCUCCGUCCGGAGUCCGGAGGAUUCUUAUCCGUAGGACUAUCCAUUAGAAGGAGGACUUUCAGUAAUUAACCGAACCUAACACCUCUUCCUAUUAUUGAUCAGAAGGAUCCAGUAGCCUUACACUAGUCAAAAGAGUUGAGCUACUAAGCUAAGCAGCAGUUGGGGAACUCGGUAGAAGCUAUUUGCCGCUUCUGCCUCCCAAAAGCAAAAAAGACCUUCUUUUAAUCCUCGACUUACUAAAUGAGAGCGAAACGCUCAACCGGGCAUACCAGCAAGACUACCCACGCUUAGUAAAGGAGGCAGAAGCCUCCCCUAUCUCUCAUGAAAAUCCCCGGUUAAUAUGGAUAGGACUGAGGGCGAGACUGGUCCUCCGGACUUGUUUAAUGGAUAGGUCAACUCAUCUGGAGCUUGAUUUUUCAUUGAGGCGGUUCUUGCUUUAGUGGUUGAGAAAGUAUCCACGAGCCAAAAACUGAUAUGAGGUGCAAUAAGGAUCGGAAGCCUUUCAUUGAAAUAGUAAGCGAAGCGCCCAAUUCAAGGUCUGGAGGUGUGCAUAGGUUGGGCUUUCUAGGUAGCUAUAAGGCGCUUUCAACUCUUAGGGCGUGUCUGAACCUAGGAGUGGGGAAUUGAGUCCCUCUACAAACAAGGGAAAAUACUCGCCACGGGCCAUGAAAUAUGAGAAUCUCGGCUGGAGACUAGAAGAAAGCCUAUCUCCGAAAAUAGUCCGAAAACUCCCCUAAUUGAGCUAAGGAGGACGGUCAAUGCAAUUUAAGUAAGGAGAGGAUCAAAGAACAAGAGUGGGAAGAACAUGAUAUUAUUGACAGGGAUAUUGUAGGAGUUGACGGCUCGCCGACGAGAUUUAUUAGUGGGAGAGGCGCAAAUUAAGUUCUAAUGGAUAGUCCUACAGACCCAUUGGCGAGUACUUUUUGGAGAAGAGGUGCAAAGGAUCAAAGAAGAUUUUGAAAACGUCCUACGGUUCGAAGGUGAAAGAAGAUUUCCAGAAGGCACAAAGAGCGAGGAGCAAAGAUCUAUGGCCCACGUAGCGGGAUAUUGUAAGAAUAUUGUCGGACUACCGCAUCGUGGGGGAGUCAGAAACUGCAUCUUUGCAAAUGAAGAGCGGUUGAAAGCAAGGAAGAGAUGUCAUUCUUGAGCAAUCGUCUACACUCCUUCCAGAAGAAAUGUGUGGCAAUACACCACUCCUUAGACAGACCAUCAGUCAGUGAGAAGAUCAAAGAAAGAGCGAUCUCAUCACUGGCAGGCUUUCGUCGGCCUUCUGCCAGGAAAAGACAGUCUCACAGGAGCAGAGCAAAGGAAAAGAAUCUUGGAAUCUUGUCUAUUACUCUUGUGAUGAGAUCUUAUUCAUUACUCUUUCUAUUCGAUCUUCUUAAAUGUAGCGUAGAAGUGGAUUCGAACCACCUAGAAUUCAUAGGAAAUUCUAUAUCUUAUACUGAAAGGAAAGGAAAAGCGCUUUCAUUUAAGAAUGCAUCUGGUUCUAUCUUGAUUUCUUGAGUUAACCCACCUAAAAGGGAUUGUUGUAAUUCUGGUUUUAUACGACUUGGAAUGACUCUCUCAUAUUGAGAAAUUUUUUCUAGUGGCAUUCGAUCACAGAAUCCAUUGACAGCAGCAUAAAUGACUAGAAUUUCUUUUUCAAUGUUCAGUGGUGCAUAUUGUGCUUGUUUCGAGACUUCUGUAAGCCUUGCACCUCUAUUGAGUAAUGCCUGAGUCGCAGCAUCAAGGUCUGACCCAAAUUGAGCAAAGGCGGCGACUUCGCGAUAUUGUGCCAAUUCAAGUUUUGAACUACUGCAGACUUGUUCCACAGCUUUCAACUAAGCGACAGACCCGACACAACUGAUGGAUAAGUCGACGUUAAUAGUAGGUCUAAUUCCACGAUAAAAGAGCUCAGUUUCCAAACAGAUUUGUCCAUCAGUAAUAGGGAUCACAUUGGUGGGAAUAUAGGCCGAUACGUCUCCAGCUUGUGUUUCAAUGACGGGUAAGGCGGUCAAGCUACCUGCACCUGUCUGGUCCGAUCGUUUAGCAGCUCUUUCUAAGAGACGGGAAUGUAAAUAGAAAACAUCGCCUGGGAAAGCCUCACGGCCUGGUGGUCGGCGUAACAAUAAUGACAUUUGUCGAUAUGCCACCGCCUGUUUACUAAGAUCAUCAUAGAUUAUUAAUGCGUGCAUUCCAUUAUCGCGGAAGUAUUCCCCCAUGGCACACCCAGAAUAUGGGGCCAGAAAUUGAAGAGGAGCAGGAUCCGAAGCGGUGGCUGCUACAAGAAUUGAAUAUUCCAAAGCAUUCCCUUCUGAAAGAAUUUGAACUAAUUGUGCCACAGUGGAACGCUUUUGUCCAAUCGCUACAUAGACACAAUACAAUGUCUCACUCUCAGCCCUUGAGUUCAUUUGCUUUUGGUUUAAUAUGGUAUCGAUAGCUAUAGCAGUUUUUUCCGUUUGUCGAUCCCCGAUUAUAAGUUCUCGUUGGCCACGCCCUAUAGGAACCAGACCAUUCACCGCUUUUAACCCUGUUUGCAUAGGCUCGUGCACUGAUUUACGUUCAAUAAUCCCAGGGGCUUUCACUUCGACACGUUUUCGCUGAUGAUCGCUUAGAACCCUCUUCCAUCAAUAGGUACUUCCAAGGCGUUGACCACACGCCCAAACAUAGCCUUUCCCGCAGAACAUCCACAAUCGAUCUGGUGCGCUUGACAAGAUCUCCUUCUUUAAUAGCGGUAUCACUACCAAAGAUAAUAAUACCUACAUUCUCAUUCUCAAGAUUUAAGGCUAUUCCUUUGACACCGUUGGAAAAUUCCACAAUUUCCCUAGCUUGAAUCUCCUUCAAUCCAUAAACUCGAGAAAUCCCAUCUCCUACAGAAAAAACUCGACCCAUCUCAUCCACUUGAAUAGAAGUGUUGAAGUUCGUAAUUCUACCUUCUAAGAAAGUUGUUAGUUCCGCUACUCCGGGAGAGAAUUCCACGAUUCGAUUUCUUCUUGGGCGUCCAGUGAGAAUGUCGCUGCUCAGAGAUGAGAUCCCGCCCAGAUAAAGAUAGAGAAGAGAAAUCUCUCAUCACAAAAAGAAGGAAUGAGAAAGAUAAUGAUAAUAUAAUCGAACGGCCAUAAUCCGCUCCUCCUUAUGGAUGUUCUUGUUGGACGCUAUGGAUUCAAUCCAGCCGCAGGUUUCCCUACAGCUACUAAAAAAAAGGAAUAAUACUACGCUCAGUUAGAGUUGAAAUGGGGGUCAAAAUGAAAGGGAUGGAUGAGAAAGCGCGUGCUCGCUUCUUCGACCCUUAUCUUGCGCAUCUCCUCUCUUAUUCAUAUCCUACUCUAUAAUCGUAUUCAUCUAUUCAUAAUCGCAAAGAAUAAAAGCUAGUUAUCGUCUGCAAUUGAAAGGACUGAUAGUUCUUCCACAACGAAAGCUAAGUGGUCCAUAUUCUCGGACCCCGCUCACCUUUCAACUCUUCGGUCGAGAUAUUCUAACCCCAUGGGGCGGUAGCAUUGUCGGUUUUCAAGCUUUAGAAGUUCCUGCCCUCGUAGCGGUUAUGGAGUCUCUUUACCAUAUAGCUCUACCAUACGACCAAUAGGUGUUCACAACACUAUAUUACAGGAGAGGAAUCAUUCUUCGACCGCUCCUCUUGAGUCUUAUUCCACUAAUUAACCACCCAUCAUGUCUCAUUCUCUCUUUGCCAAGGAGGGCCUCCAACUCCUAAACCUACGGCAAGGAGGCUCCUUCUCCGGACUCCCAUAGGCUUUCUCUUUCUGGGAGUUUUUAGGAUUGAGAUUUCUCCUUUAUGUACUUUCAUCCUAUCGAUAGUCAGACUCCUAACCUCUGCGGUCAGUCCUUCGGACCGGAUGUGCGAAGAAGAAAAAGAAGGCGCCAUAAGACAGUUCCUCCAUUUUAGAGUCCUUCUUCUUCUUUCUGAGAGUCCUCCUUCUAAUGGAUAGUCCUACGGAUAAAUCCUCCGGACUCCUAACUACGGUUCAAAGAAUAUUGACAAAGAAUAUUGCGAGGAGCAAAGAUCUAUGGCCGGGUCUAGAUGACUAUCCCCCACGGUGCGGUGCAAAGAAUAUUGUGAGGCCUUUGGGACUUUAUCAAACUUAGCUCGAGUUUGCACUUUUUUUAGCCUUCGGGUUAUUGGUGAAUGGAGAAGGAAAUGACUUUUCUAUGGAAGACGGACGUUCUCGAUUCGAGUUCUUUUAGUUCAGAAUGGGACUAGCACACCCUCAGAAUCGAUGUCCAAAUUGAAUCUUGCCUUCCCCAAAUGUACCCGAGAGAAAAGAUAGAAAAUGUCUAAAAAAUCCCUCAAUGAAUCUGCUCAAUGAAAAAGGCUCAAAGAAGAGAAGAUUGAGAAAGAAUAUUGAAAAGCUCGUAGUGGAUUUUGUCCAUUUUCCCGAUUAGGUCAUUAGACCGAAUUCAAUGUCUUAAGCAAAUGAAAACCAAGAGCUUAAAUUACUACUUAUUUAUUAGAAAAUCCACCACACAACUUGAAACUUAAUUUAUUAUAUAAUGGAGCAUGAGAAACAUAAAAAGAAAAAAUAUGUCAAAUUACGUGUCAAAUAAGAAAUAUCUAAAUCACCAAUCAUAAAUGUCACUGUGCUUCAUAGACUACUAGUCUCCUAAUGCUAAGACCCACAAAUAUAAUUAUUAGGCACACCCAAAAAACCAAAAGGAAUAUAAUCAUUUGGAAGAACUUAAACAAUCAACUUCAAUAUGAUUGACUGCACAUAUACCAUUGUAUUUACACUACAGUAAAAGCCUUACAAAAUGAAUAGUUCUUUUUGUUAUUAUCUUUUAAAGUAAUGAUAAUGGAUAAGAAUCCUCCCAAGUUGAUUUAGUGGUAAAAGGAAGAUAAAUUCACAAUAACUAUGAGUCAUUGACUGUUUAGGAAAGAAAAAUGAGGAAAGAAGAAUAAGAAAAAUGGGGAUUAUAAAAAGGAAAAGAUUAUUUAUAAUUGUUCUCGCAGAAAUGAUUAAGUUAGUGGAUUAUGAAGAUUAUUUAUAAUCCUUGUUUGGGAGAAGGAUUAUGAUAAAAAUAUUGUAUUUUUUAUUUGUGUAAAAAAAUAAUUUGUACGUCAACCUCAAUAUAAGAAAAAAAACUAAUUGAACCCAAUACAAAAUGAAAUAUGUGCUAAUAUUUUCUGCAUCUGUGUAAAUUUUUGUCUGUUGUUUGUACGGUAAAACCUUUACAACCAAAAAUUGUAUUGAAAUUCAUUUUUAUAGUUAAGUUGUAUCAUGACUCAAACACACUAAAAAAUUUAUAUUAAUUUUUUUUUGUUGAUUUUGUAUAAAUAGUUUUUUUACUUGUAAGGUACCACCAAUACAAUUCCAAAAGUGAAGUUUUUUUUUUUUUUUUUUCUCAUUUGAGUAGUAGCAUUUUUUUCUUAAUUUUUUUUUACAUUACAUCCAAUACUCAAAACAAAUUGUAUUAAUUUUUUUUCUUUGUGAAAAAUAUAUUUUUGAAUUUUGUACCGUAAAUCUAAUUCACAAAGAAAUUGUAUUAUUUAUUUUUUUCAUCCGUCUUUAGUUUGUAGUUCAAUUUAAGAUGUAAGUCCAAUAUAAAAUAUAUGUAUUUUUUUUUUCAUUUUCAAAGGUUUUCACGAUUAUGACAAAAAUAGCUUAUUAUGUUUUUUUUUUUUUUAAAUUUGUACUCUUGUAUUUUUUUAUAAAAAAAAAAUAUAGUAAAUCCAAUACACAAAUAUUCAUAUAUUUAAUUUAACAAAAUUUAGAUUUUUUUAUUGAAAAAUAUGUUCCAUUAGUUUUUGUAAAUUUUUUACGUAAGCUUUCAGUGCCAAUAAAUUAGUUGAUGCUUUACGUGUAAAAAAAAUUAGAUCUAUUUUUUAAAAUUGAUGUUGUUAGUGCAAUAUUGGGAAAUUGCAUAUUGUUUACAAUCGAUUUAAACAAACGAGGAUGAACAUAGUAACAUUGAAACGAAAUGAAGUACAUAUACAUAUAUAUAAAUUUGGAAUGCAAUUAAACGGUGAUGUCAAUUACAUUGUACAUCAUGAUAAUGCAAAUAAUAAUAAAAAAAAAACGCAAUGGAAACCAUAAUAAAAAUGGAUCAUGCAGUUCAAACGGACAAAUAAUUAUUGGAUUGAAUAUUUGUAGUUUUAUGAAAUUAAAAUUAAUUAAUUAUUUGUGGAUUGAAUAUUUUAAUUAAUCACUAGAUUUGUAUUUUUAGCGGAAUUUGAAUUUAAUUAGAUAUUUGGAUAUAUUUUUAAUUAAAUUAAAGAGUGAAAUUUUGUUUUAGCGUUGUUGAAUUUGAAUUUAAUUAGAUAUAUUUUUAAUUAAAUUAAAGAGUGAAAUUUUGUUAUAUGUGUAUGUUGAUAUAUAUUUAAAAUUAUUAUGGAAAAAUGAAAAGUAAAAUAUAAUUGUUAAGAAAAAUAUAAUUAUAUUUUGGAAAAAGAGAAAAGUUUGAUAUGAUUGUUUUUAGUGAAGAAGGAAAAAGAUUAAGAGGAGGAAAGAGAGAGAUUGAGAGGGAGAAAGAGGAGGAUUAAGGGGAAUAAACUUAUUCCUUUCCCCCCAACCUAAUCCCACCCCCAAACAUAGAAAUGAAUACUCAUUCCCUUUCCUUUCUUUUUCCCUCCCCAAACACCCUCUUCUCAUCUUAAAAAUAUUACUAUACAUGCUCAUACUUUGAACCUAAUUGUUAUAUUGUGCGGUUGCAUUUUUUAAAAUUCAUACACAGAUUCUCUGUUAAUCCAAAUUCCUUAAAUUGACAACCAUCAUCUUGGCCACCCCUUCCCAUCGUUCGCCCUUGAUCAACCGACAAAAACAAACUUUUGAUAGCAGGUUCACAGACGUGAUAAAAAGGUUGUGCCGUUGGAACAAAUCAAAUCGACUUCAAUGUUAACAAAAAAAAAAAAAAAAAAAGAAAGAACAAAUCAAUUCGGUAAUGUACACACGGGAUAAUGAUAUUUUAGUAGCAAGUAAAAUUUAAUCAAAAUUUACAUUCAUUUGUUAGUAAUAAAGAUUAUUUGGAAUUUUUCAUUUUACAUGGCUUUGAAUUAAUAAAUAAAAAUUUGAUUACUUUAGUAAAAGAACGUAAAUAAAAAAAGAAACCUCUGUUUGAUUUAUAAGAAAGAAAAAAAAGAGUAAAGUUUCUCAAAUUCUUUAGUCAUCUAAUUGGUUUGGUAGUUUUUGGGUAUAAACAGUAAUAAGAAUAUUAUCUUGUUUUUCAUUCUCCAAUAUCAUCAUCUUUCUCAUUUUUUUUGUUCUUAUAUAUUCUUUCCCUCCUCAUCCCAUUGUUCUUUAACAACAUGAAAAGACAAAUUCAAGAUAAGCAUUACUAAAAUCAUAUAAUUUUUAUUAUAUGCUUCAUUUUGCGCACACACACACACACAUAUAUACUUUGUUAAAUAUAGUGAAAGUGAUAUUUUCAAAUCAAAUUCUCAUUCCAAAUUUUUGUUUACUUUUCUUCUCAUCCGCUGCUUAUUGUUCUUCUACAUUUCUAUUUUGAAGUCCUCUACGAAUCUCCUUUCUAAUUGCAUUUGUUUUUGUUCUAUAAAACUUUUAAACCAGAGAAAAAAAUACUUUUAUACUUUGAAUUUUUAUUUGUUGUGUGAUCAUAUAAGUUUGAAGUUCUUGUCUUUGAGUUUUUCACUAAUUUAAAAUGAAUAAAAAGCUAGUUCAUCAACUAAUUAGUGUGUAUUAGUGAAAAUUACAAUAAUAUAUAUAGAUGAAGUAAUAGUAAUUCCAAAAUUAUUAUAAACCUUGAUUUGACUUGGUAUAUAGAUAAGUUGGAAUUCAACCUUUUAUAAAAAAAGCAAUUUCUUGGUUUUCGUUAACUCGUUUUGUUCGAUUUUGGUGUAGAAAUUUUUAGAAAAACGCAUGAUUUCUGAUACAGAUUGCAAUUCGCCUAGAAAGAGUAGUAUGUUGAAAAGCCUUAACGCCUAGACAAUUUGCGUGCUAAUUUGCCUUGUAUCUCGCCUAUUGAAUUAUUGGUAUCUCGCCUGAAUAGAACACUUUCUUUGGUCAGCUCGUAAUUUGGUCAAAUCACCUACUGGUCAAAAUGCCUAACGAUCAACUCGCAUACUGGUCAAAACGUCUACUGCAAAACAUAAACAUGUUAGAAAAUGGUUGAGUCACGAAUCUCGUUUUCUUUAAUAUGUUUCUCUACUCUAUUUGCUCUUUUGUGCAAAUAGAUUUGUGUUACCCUAUCGUCCAUAGCAUAAAACAGUCGUGUUCUUCACACUACAAGAAAAAAUGACAUAUUAUGACAGUUGUAUACAUCCCAUAUUGAAAGGAAGGAAGAAAAAGAAUGUCAUAAAAUGUCAAAAAUCACAUUUUUGGUGGGAAAAAAAAUGUUGCUUUCGGAUUGCACUUAUCGAGACCUAUGUUCUUCUUCUAUUUCUACUUGCAAUUGCAUUAGUUGUUUAAAAUCAAAAAUGAAAAAAAAUUACCUUUUUCUAUGUCUUUAUCAACUUCUUUUACACCUCUUGAACUUGUUCGCAUUGAUUGUGAGGAUUAUCCUCUCCAACAAUUUCUUCUAAUGGAAAUCAAUAUUAUGUUAGCUUUAUUGAUAAUUUUAGCAAAUUUACUUGACUCUUUCCUAUUUCUUACAAAUGUGACGUUCUAUCUAUUAUUAAAAUCUUUGUUGCUUUUAUUGAAAGUCAAAUAUCUCAAAAAAAAAAAAAAAAAUCGAUCAGAUGGUGGUGGUGAAUUUUACAACACCACCUUAUAAUUCUUCUUUUUAUUCCAAAUGUAUUUCUCACCCAAAACCAUGCCCUUAUACUCUUGAACAAAACGGUGUCGUUGAACGUAAACAUCAUCACAUAGUUGAAACUGUAAUGUCUCUAAUUUUUCAUUAAUCAUCUGUUCCUCUUGAAUUUUGGUCUUACGCCUUUUCCACUGUUUUUCUUAUUAAUCAAAUGCCCUCUCCUCACUUAAAAUGUCAUCACCAUUCAAAGUGCUUUUUGGUUAUACUCCUAAUUUGCAUCAUUUAAAAGUUUUGGAUGUGCAUAUUAUCCCCUUCUCAAACCUUACACCAAACACAAAUUUGAACCAAAACCACACAACACAUAUUUUUAGGUUAUCCUCACAAUUUUAAAGGCUAUAUUUGUUACAAUCCAUUAACCAAACAAACCAUAGUUUCACGACAUAUCAUGUUUCGUGAAACAAUCUUUUCUUAUGCAAAUUCUACCACCUCUUCUCCAUCUCAAUCUCUAUCCAAUUCUAGUCCAAGCCUACUACUCAGCUUACUAAACAUUCCACAUUACACACCUUCAAAUCCUAUCUCCAUUCCUAAUUAUUCAAUCCCUACCUUCUCAACCUCCCGGUUGACAUUACUUGCUCCUUUUUUUAUGAAUACUGUGCCACUUGUGAGUCUUUGAAUGUUUCAUCUACAAUUAAUACAUGAAAUGAGAUAAAUGCUGCCGCAAGUAACUUACUUGUUCCACCUCCUCCUCGGAACACUCAUGCUUUGCAAACUCGAGCAAAAUCAGGUAUUUAUAAGCCAAAGGCCUUCCACAUCACAACUGCUCUCCCAACUCCCACAUCAUAUACAUAUGCCUCCAAGUAUCUUGAAUGGUGAACUACGGUGUGUGAGGAAUUCAGUGCUAUUUAAGCACAUGGUACUUGGUCCUUAGUAUCUCGACUUUCAUCUAUGAAUGUUAUUGGUUGUAAUUAAUGGGUUUUUCAAACAAAAUAUAAUUCCGAUGGCUCUAUUUCUCGUCACAAAGUGAGACUUUUUGCGAAAGGUUAUCAUCAGGUACAACAUUUUGAUUUUGAUGAAACAUUUAGUCCUAUUGUUAAGAAACCCACCAUACGCAUCAUUCUCACUCUUGCUGGUCAAUAUAAUUGGUCCUUAAUCCAAUUAGAUGUAAAAAAUACUAUUCUUCAUGGUAUUCUCUAGGAAACAGUGUACAUGUCUCAACCUACUGGCUUCUAGGACAAAAAUAUCCAAAUCAUGUGUGUCUCCUACACAAGAGUCUUUAUAGUUCAAACGGGUCCCUCACGCUUAGUUUGAAGGCUUUACAUCUUAUUUAUUUACUUUGGAUUUUUUUGAUUCUACCGCUGAUCCCUCAUUAUUCAUUCGAUCAGUUGGAUCUUCUCUCACUUAAACUUUAGUAUGUAGAUGACAUCAUUGUAACUGGUCCCGACUCUUCAUACAUCUCUCUUCUAAAAAAUCAAUUGACCCUUGAGUUCCAAAUAUUCGAUCUUGGUCAUUUAAAAUAUUUUACAUGUCUCGAAAUACAUUCUUCCACUGAUUGCAUCUUUAUUAACCAGGCUAAAUAUCUCAAUGACUUUCUUCACACAUCAGGAAUGACCUCUACAAAAUCUUGUGCCACUCUCAUGUCUACUUCUCUUGAACUUUAUACCACUGCACCAUCAUUUAAUGAUCCAUCCCUUUAUCGCAGACUAGUUGGUUUCUUGCAAUAUCUUUACGUUCAUACGUCCUAAUAUUGUGUUCUAUGUAAAUCGUGUCAGCCAGUUCAUGCACAAACCAACCGUCAUUCACUUCUUGACAGUCAAGUGCAUCCUCAGAUAUCUACGUGGUACUCCAACCCUUGGAAUAAAAUUUUGCAAAGGUUCGUUCUUUCUACAAACCUUUCUCGAUUCUAAUCCAAUCUCUUGGUCUUCUAAAAAGCAAUCUACAGUCUCUCGUUCCUCCACAAAAGCAAAAUAUCGUUCACUUGCCACUACUACUAUCGAUCUUUACUGGAUCUAAAAGCUUCUAUGUGAUCUACGUGUUCCUCUCAAGACCUCACCAACAUUAUGGUGUGAUAAUGUUUUUGUUAUAUCUCUGUCUUAUAAUUCAGUUUUUCAUGCUCGAACCAAACACAUUAAUUGAGAUUGAUUACCACUUUGUUUGGAAAAAAGUUCUUCACAAAGAUAUUUCCAUUCGCUACACCUCUUCCAAAAAAACCAACUUGGUUCUAUUGUAAUUGUUACCAUAUUCACUCAUUUGUAAUUUGUAUAAAUGUUACUUCUUAUCAAUAAGAACAUAUGCAAAAUAGAAUGAUUUCAAACCUUUUCAACACUGAAGCCUCCAAGUAUUUUGAAUGGUGAACUACGAUGUGUAAAAAAUUCAAUGCUCUUCAAGCACAUGGUACUUGAUCCUUAGUACCUCGAUUUCCAUAUAUGAAUAUUGUUGGUUACAAAUGAAUUUUUCAAACAAAUAUAAUCCCGAUGGCUUUGUUGCUCUUCACAAAGUGCGACUAGUUGUUAAAGGUUAUCAUUAGGAACAAGGUUUUGAUUUUGAUGAAACAUUUAGUCUUGUUGUUAAGAAACCCAAUAUAUGAGCUAUUCUUGCUCUUGCUAUUGAGAGAAUUGGUCCUUGACCCAGUUAUAUGUUAAAAAUGUCUUUUUUAUGGUAUUCUCCAGGAAACAGUUUACAUGUUUCAACCCACUAACUUCCAGGACAAAACAUGUCCAAAUCACGUGUGUCUCCUACACAAGAGUCUUUCUGACCUAAAACAGGUCUGUCACGCUUGUUCUAAACGCUUUACAUCUUAUUUAUUUACUCUGGUUUUUGUUUGUUCUACCUCUAAUCCCUCAUUAUUUAUUCGUUUAGUCAAAUUCUCUCUCACUUGCUUUUGUAUGUCGAUGACAUCAUUGUCACUGGUCAUGAAUCUUCAUAUAUUUCUCUUUUAAAAAACCAAUUGGCCCUUGAAUUCCAAAUAUUAGAUCUUGGUCCUUUAAAAUACUUUAUAUGUCUCGAAAUACAUUCUUCCACUAAUGACAAAUUUGUUAACCAAGCCAAAUAUCUCAAUGAAUUUCUUCAUAUCUCGGGAAUGGCCUCUGCAAAAUCUUGUGCCACAUCAAUGUCUUCUUCUCUUGAUCUUUAUAUCACUGCACCACCAUUUAAUGAUUCACCCUUUUAUCGUUGACUAGUUGGUUCCUUGCAAUAUCUUACCUUUACACGCCCUGGCAUUGCAUUCUUUGUAAAUAGUGUCAAUCAAUUCAUGCACAAACCAACUACCAAUCACUUCUUGGUAGUCAAACGCAUCCUCCAAUAAUGUGGAACCCUGACCCUUGGAAUAAAUUUUCGCAAAGGUUCGUUCUCUCUACACAUUUUUUGUGACUCUGAUUGGGCAUGUGAUACUUCUAAUUGACGUUUCACGUCCGGAUUCAUUGCCUUCCUCGAUUCUAAUCCAAUCUCUUGGUCUUCUAAAAAGUAACUUACAAUCUCACAUUUUCCACAUAAGCAAAAUAUCACACACUUGCCACUACUACUGCCGAUCUCUACUAAAUUCGACAACUUAAUCUUUUCAAAUUUUCACCUCCAUGCAUAACUUAUUAUUUAAGAGAUUAAAAGGUUAGAAUCUGAAAAGCUAUCUAUUUAUUUCUAUAAUUAAUUUUAAAAUUUUAUAAAUAUAUAUUAAAUUCCAAAGGAUAUAUUAUAAGUAUGCAAGUAAUUAGUGAAAUCUCUCAACAUUUUAAACCUUCUAAAAUUUUCUUUUAACUUUUAAAAUUCUAUUAGAAAUUAAAUAUGGCAUAUCUUUCUCUUCCAUCCCAUAAAUAGUUUCAUAUAUUUCUAGUAGUUUUAUUGGUAAGGAAAGAAGAAUUGUAUCACAUGUAUAUCUCAAUAUUAUAUUCAAUUUAUUUUUUUAAAAAUAUAUAUAUUUAUGUAUUAAGUUGAAAGUCGGCUUAAGGAAAUGACAUUGUUUUUUUUUGUUAGUUUUAUGAUUCAGAUAUGUCGCCACGUGCCCGAGACGACGCGGAGCGGCCGACGUCCUCAAAAGAGUUAGUUUUAAAAGAAAAUAGGAGACGCCACCAAUCUUUUUUACGGUGUGAUUGGACACCGAAAUAAAGUAAACAAUUUAAAAAAAAUAGUCAGCGAAAAAAUAAUGUUGAGUUCGGGAGUCAUUUGUGUGUGGGGAAUGUAUUAGCAUCCCACGACACCCAUUUAGAAAACGGUGGCCAAAUUUCAAAUCUUGAAUUGAAAAUAUUUUUUAAUUUAUUUUUAAACUAAUGGCUUAUUUCACCCAUCAUUACUCCAAUAUUUGAAGCAAUGAUCUCAUAAAAUAAGUGGAAUAAUAUUUCAUUAAUUAAGACUACAUAUUUAAGAAAAGUUUCUCACAUUAAGAAAAUGAGAAAUUAUUACAAUUUCUCAAAAUCUAUCAUAAGCUAGUCUUUGAAUAAAGAUUUUUUGAAACAUUAAUUAAUUUCAUUUUUUCUUGGGAUCAAAUCUCAGACUUACAAAGAUAUUCAUCCCUCACCUCAAGAAUCUAGAAAUAACAGACUCCCAGAAAGUUCUAGAUUCUAUCGUAGGAUUUUUUUUAAAGAAAAACGGUUGAAGUUUUUAGAAAAAACUGGUUUAGGAAACCUUAUGAAAUCAUAUGUUAAAUUUUGAAGGUUUUGAAAAAACAUAAAACAUUUAUAGCAUUAGAGACAAAUUUGCUAAAUGAUUUUUUUUAAAAAAAUCUUUAUUUUAAAACAUAAAGAAUUUUAAAUAGGAAGGAUUUUAAAACAUUAAUAAAUUUAAAUAGAAAGAGUUACCUUCAAGUGCAUCUAAUAAUAAUUAUUAUAGUAAUAUGAAUGAGUAAAAGAAAGGAAAACAUAAUCACUUAAAUAAAAUAAGGAAAUAAACAAAAAAAAAAGUAGUGAAACAAAGAAAUAUAUAUAUAUAUAUAUAUGUAUAAAGUAAUAAAUAAUAAAAUAAUUAAUAGAGAAUAAAUAGUAAUAUAAAAAGAAUAUCAACAACAAUAACAAGUAUAAUAAUAACAGAAAGAAAACACUAAUAAAUAUAAAAAUGAGUACAAUAACAAUAAUAUAUAUACAUACAUAUACAUAUAUAUACAUACAUAUACAUAUAUAUAUAUAUAUAUAUAUAUAUAUAUAUAUAUAUAUAUAUAUAUAUUAUAUUAUAUAUAUAUAUAUUUAAUAGUAAUGACAUAAUUCUCUAUUACUAAUUCAUUAUCUCCAUAUUUUUAGAAAGAAGAAAACGAGGAUCAAGAGUUAAAAAAAAUUUUAUGCCUUCUUUUUCUCUAUUAUUUAGGGAGAAGAAAAAGACUAAGGUUAUUUUUUUAUAUAUAAAAAUAACUAAAAAAAAAGCCAAAAAUAACAUUUUAAAAAAUCUUAUACAAUUUUUUCUUUCUCUCUAUCUUUAAAGAAAAAAAGAAGAGAAAUAAAAAAUCAAAUCCCAAAGAAAAUUACUUGUCGAUGAGGUGCGGAUCCUUGGGAGUAAAACUCUAUCACAUGUCACCUCUAACAAAGUCUAUUUCAACACGCGAUUUGAUUUGGUAAAGAGAAAUAAAAAAAUACUGAAACAAAAAAUGAUAACGAAACUAACGUAAUGAAAUGAAAAAAAAAAACUACUUUUGGAGAAACUUUUCUUCCCAUUCACAUAAAUUCUCCCAAAAAAAAUUUCUCUAACAACUUUUUUCUAAAGAAUUUUUUUGUAAGAACUUUUUCACUCCGAAGAAUUCUUUGUUUCAAAAAACUCUCAUCCAUUUUUCAAAUGACAAAGACACCUAUUAAACCCGGGGUGUACCACAAAUUAGGAAAAAAUAAUAAGAACAAAAAUCAAAAUUUGAUAUUAUGUUAAUAAAACAAAUUUUCAUUUUUCUAAAAUAAAUUAAAUUAGAUAUUUUGAGAUUUUGUGAAAAAUAACUUAAUAAAUGAAAUGGAAAUUAAAAGAUUUUUAAUUUAAAAUUGGAUUUCUUUUUUUCGUAGAAUGAUAUAAGUUAAAAUUGAUAUUAGAAAAUUUUAUUUAAAACAAGUUCAUUUAUUUUUUCCUAAAAUAGUACAAAUAAGAUAAAUGUGAUAUUAAAAUAUUUUAUUUAAAAUAAAUUGAUUUUUUUUUAUUUUCUAAAAUAAUGAAAAUGAGAUAUUAUAAGAUAUUAUGUUAUUACUAAUUUUUUUACUUUUUUUUCAAAAA
rnacentral:lncRNA from 1 species